GACGAACGCUGGCGGCGUGCUUAACACAUGCAAGUCGAACGAGACGAUUGAAAGCUUGCUUUUGAAAGUCGAGUGGCAAACGGGUGAGUAACGCGUAGGCAACCUGCCUUUGAGAUGGGGACAACAGUCCGAAAGGACUGCUAAUACCGAAUGUUGUGGAACUUCCGCAUGGAGGCUCCACCAAAGAUGGACCUCUUCCUGAAAGUUAUCGCUCAAAGAUGGGCCUGCGUCUGAUUAGCUAGUUGGUGGGGGCAACGGCCUACCAAGGCGACGAUCAGUAGCCGGUCUGAGAGGAUGAACGGCCACAAUUGGAACUGAGACACGGUCCAGACUCCUACGGGAGGCAGCAGUGGGGAAUCUUCCGGCAAUGGGCGAAAGCCUGACGGAGCAACGCCGCGUGAGUGAAG
rnacentral:rRNA from 1 species